rnacentral:rRNA from 1 species
ACACUCCUGCGGGAGGCAGCAGUGGGGAAUAUUGGACAAUGGGCGCAAGCCUGAUCCAGCCAUGCCGCGUGAGUGAUGAAGGCCCUAGGGUUGUAAAGCUCUUUCACCGGUGAAGAUAAUGACUGUAACCGGAGAAGAAGCCCCGGCUAACUUCGUGCCAGCAGCCGCGGUAAUACGAAGGGGGCUAGCGUUGUUCGGAUUUACUGGGCGUAAAGCGCACGUAGGCGGACUAUUAAGUCAGGGGUGAAAUCCCGGGGCUCAACCCCGGAACUGCCUUUGAUACUGGUAGUCUUGAGUUCGAGAGAGGUGAGUGGAAUUCCGAGUGUAGAGGUGAAAUUCGUAGAUAUUCGGAGGAACACCAGUGGCGAAGGCGGCUCACGGGCUCGAUACUGACGCUGAGGUGCGAAAGCGUGGGGAGCAAACAGGAGUAGAUACCCCGGUAGUCCCAUG